rnacentral:ncRNA from 1 species
CAUUGCGGGAGAGGUGCAACACUCAGGCAACUUAUCGGAGGCAACUAGGGCUAUUGAUGAUAAGUGAUGGGAGUGCUUGCCGAGGUGUGAAUUCACUAGACUGGAAUGAACAUCGGCUGAAUCAGGUUGAAUCCUAUCAGCUGUCAUUUGAAUGACGGCAACCGCCAAAUUCAAAUGGAGUGCUCUGAAAUGA